ensembl:lncRNA
GGCAAUUCUCCAUGAUUCUUCAUAUUAUUUCUGAAUGUCUAUUGAGCAGAAACACUGACAAUCUUUUGUUCUGGUCUGCCUUUUCAAAAAUUUUUGUAUAGUGAGCAACUUUGAAAAGUAGAGAUAGUAGCAGAGAAUAGAGAAGGAGCAGAUGGUAGGGCUAUUCGAUAUCCAGUAUGAUAAUGUUUUCCUCUGGGGAAAGGUUAGGCAGGUUGUUUGCCACUUCUUAUGAAAGCUUGAAGUUUCCUAAACUUGGGGCUCCUCAUAGGUGAUGCAAAUCUGUAGUGUGCAGCACCUACCUAUACCCACUUCUGUGUCCCCCCCAUGUGACCUGGCGGGAGGCAAAGGGAACUAAUAUGAACAUGAAGUUUAUGUUCCUGCUGUAUCAUGAUUAGUAGUCUUCGUCUCUAAGCCCGGAGUCUCUGAACUUCUGCCAUGAAAAAUGGCAGGUUUAACAUGUUUGUUUGCAAGUAUGGUUAAAAAGUCUGAUCAUUCAUAGUUCUUGACACUGGUCAGUUUUUCAUCUAACCAUAACAUCUUGUAUGAAUGAAGUUAAGAGAAUGAGGUUGAGAAUACGGAAGCUUCUUUAAUGACACUGGAACCAGAAAGCUGGCUAACUCAGGAGCCUCGAAUGGCAUUUGCGUUUGACUGUGUUGCCUGGAGAGAUGUGUCUAAAGAUGAUUUCUAGUGGUAAUCUUGUCUUGGCACAAUAGGGAUUUCUGAUGCCAGGGCAUACUUACAGCCUUUGAAUCAAGAGAGAAAGGUCCCUACACACUAGGAAAGUGUGGGAAUCUUUGUGGUUAUAGGUUUUAUUUUGGAAGCUGGGGGAGAUUCCUAUCAAGAGAAACAGGUUUUGGUGAGUGGCAUGGGUAUUUGCUGCCUAGAAACCCAGUGGCUCAAUGGUAAAAAAAAUCUGUCUGUAGUGCAGGAGACAUAGGUUCAAUCCCUGGGUCGAGAUGAUCCCCUGGAGAAGGAAAUGACAAUCCACCCCAGUACUCUUGCCUGGAAAACCCCAUGGACAGAGGAUCCAGGCGGGCUACAGUCCAUGGGGUCGCAAAAGAGUAGGACAUGACUGAGCGACUAAACAACAGUGAAUAUUUGCUACCCAUGUUGAUCUGUCAUGCUUCUCGGCAUGCAGUGAUUCAUACAUCCUUUGAAUAAAUACUUAUUGAUCACCAGUCAUUUGCAAGGAAUUAUACCCAUUUCUGAAUGUAUAUUAUUGCAUAAAAUAUAUUUGUCCUUGUUCUUAUAGAGUUUAACUUCCUUAAAUUAAAGAAGGAAGAUAGAGGGGCUCUACUUUAUCUGUAUUUUGAGGUUAUAUUCCAAGAAAGUGCAAUAUGGUAGAAUAAAAUUACUUGCUAUGAUUCCCAGGUAGUGUUAGAACCUGCCUGCCAACGCAGGAAACAUGAGAGACUUGGGUUUAAUCUCUGGGUCGGGAAGAAUCCCUGGAGGAGGGAAUGACAAUCCACUCCAGUAUUCUUGCCUGGAGAAUCCCAUGGACAGAAGGGCCCAGUGGGCUACAGUCCAUAGGGUUGCACAGAGUCAGACACCACUGAGGCAAUCUACUUAGUGGAUUCCGCCUUAGCAGAUUAGAAGUGCAGUCUAAUUCCUACUUCCUUAUACAGUAUCUGGAAUAGCCUUAGUGGCUUGCUUGACCAAAUAGAGUGAGUCAAAGUAGUGCUCUGGUACUUCUGAAAUCAGGAAAUGUGAAGGUAAUCUUAUCCUGGGUUUCUUGGGAUACUAGCUUCAUAUAAAAAAAUCUGACUAUAUUGAACCUUCCAUGCUAUGAAGGAGCCUAAGGUAGCUCUCUCUCCAUAUGGAGAGGAUAUGAGGAGAAAAAAAUAUAUGAGGUAGUUCUCUCAAGUAUCUUUAACUACUUCCUUUCCUCUCCCCUGCCCAGGUGAUGCCGCAGUUGGUGUGGAGCAGAGAUGAGCUGUGUGCUGUCUACAUCUGUGACCCACAAAGCUGUAUUCAUCAGAUGGCCAAUAAAUCUAAUCCUGCUGAUUGUAGUG